AAACCCCCGGCCUCCCGCCUUCUGACAAGACUCACAAUAGUCUCCCUGCAUGCUCUAAUGUUCAUCCUUAAAAGUGUUAACCCCGUAAUCAAAUUCUUGCACAAAUUUCUUUCAGUUUACUUCAGUUUUCAAGAGGAAAGUGAGAAAUAUUAUCCCAAAUUUGCUAAUCUUGUUCGUCGAAUAAAAAUUUGGAGUUAACUUUUGCUCAUUUUCCAACUAUCUAUCAUGCAUCAAUUGUUCUUGAGGACUUAGGUACCUUAUUUUUUUGCUAUGAUAUGGUGAUUUCUCUUAUAUUUGAAGAAAGUUUUGCUGCAAUGGAAUCUGCCUCUUCCCGCACUCUAAACAAAAGCCCAACACGAGAAUAUGAAGGAGGGAGCCAGGGAGGUAUCCAUCACAGCCUACAAGGUUUCAAUACUCUCAUGUGGUCUAUUGGUAAUGCCACAUGUAAAAUAUUGGUUGUCUCGCAUAGAGAAGUGACAACCGAAUCUGAAAUGAAAGAAAAGCUAGAGUGAGGGCAGUACUGCAGUUGGCCAGUUGUACUAUCAGUGAUGAAUAUUGAAGAGAAUGAGGCGCUUUGGACAGAGAUGAUGCAAAAAACUUGAGAAAUAGUUUAGAAUAUCAGAUUUUGGUCCCUCCUUGUCUCUCCUCUUUUUGUAGAAAUGUAGAAUACUUGUGACAAAUAUUAACUGAAUUGGACAGGGGCCGCGCGAACGCAGGCCCCCACUAUCACAAAUUAUGACGUACACUCUUCCUCUUGGGAAGAUGUUAGGCAGGCACCCCUCCAAAGUGCAAUGGAGGCCACCUACCUAGGCCAUGAGCCUUGUUGAUCGCACAUUGACCUCGUCCAGUGAGUGCAGUACUGCAAUUGUCCUAUCAGUGAUGAAUAUUGAAGAUAAUGAGGCUGGGAUAUGGGAGAAUAUCAGAUUUUAGUCCUCCUUGUCUCUCCUCUUUUUCGCCAAACAACAACUGUUCAAGUACAACCCUUAUCAAGACCAAUCUGAGGAGGUUCUAAUGUAAGCACCCUUACUCUUAAGUGAUAAUUCUGAUAAACCUUUCUCCAUUUGUUCACCAAAUACACAAGAUUCCAUGACUUCUGGAUCUGUUGUUAAUACAUUAUUUCAUCCAUGUACUCCAGAAUCCAAACAUCAGAAUAAUAAUACUGAGUUCCUGAAGUGCGAUGUGGACAAAAUCUGAAAAUAAGGAGUUGUACCACAUUGAAAAUAUAAUAGGAGAUUACAGUAACUACAGGAAAUAAAAGCCAAGAAUUGAGUUUGAACAAAUCAUACCUUUCUCGGCCUUUUGGCUAAGAUCAAGUGUAGUAUUUGUUCUUAUCAGUUUAAUAUCUGAUACGUGGACCAAUGGUCCACAACGAUAUUAAAUUUAUUUUUUAAGGGAGAAGUCCCAUCACAGUAGCUUGCUGCUGGGGUCUUCAAGCGUCGCCCAUGCGUUGCACUAUUGCAUGGGCCUGGCGCACCCCACUAAUUCUAUAUCAAUAUUCUUAUAAAAUAGUUGUAUUUUACAGGACAUGAAAUUUCUACUGAUAUAUCUUAAUUUUUACAGAAUAGUACUUCAUCUUAAAUUUGUUAAGUUCAAGGGACUGUUUUCAGAAGCUUCUGUUCUUUCCCAUGUUUGAUUAUUUACAAGAGUAUACUUUUAUAGAUUGUAUUUGCAAUGUUUUAUGGCUCCAAAUGAAAAAACUAGAUGUCUUAUUAAUUAUGGGAAGUUUUAUGUUUAAGAUGGUUUUCGUUUAGUAAACAUAUCAUAACCAAGUCAAUAUUUGGAAUCAAGUAAGUUAACUAGAAGUAAACAUUUUGAUGACAUAAUUCUAAAGAACUCUUUAUCUAACUCUUUAUCUUAUACUCGUAAUUACGUUGUUGAGGAAAUUUUAGGCCCCUUUAGAAGGUUCAGUUCCACAUUUCUACUCCCAUCACAAAAUUCUAUUUAAACUUAGCAAUUUGUAAUUUUAUGAUUUUUUCAAAGCGUUCAAUUGCAUCUUUUGUUAUAUCUAUUUCUGGUUAUUACAUACAUUUACAAAUCAGCAAAAAAGAACAAAACCGGUAUUACAGUUGUAUAAAAAUUUCAGUGGAUAAAUCCAACACGAUGCUGUUGGUGUUCUUACUGUGAAUAAUACCUGUUCGAUUUUUAUUAUUGUUAGGUUGUAGAUCUUGUGUGCUUGCAGAAUUGAGUACAUUUGCAUCAAUAUAUCUUAAUAUUUCAGCCCCAUAUUGGUUAGUUUUAUUUAUAUUGUCACACUCAUCAAAGUAUUCUCUCUUUGGAGACAUCUGAUAAAUUUGGAACAGUACGGAGAAGGUAGCAUGGCCCCCAAGCAAGAAUGACACGCUCGCGAGAAAUGUACAUCAUGGGAAAUCCUCUACAGUUAGUUACCCACAUUUGCAGGUCAAAUAAAGGGUUGAAAUGACCAGAAAAUAAAUAGAGAUGCGGAGACUAUCAUAUUGUCUAAUUGCAAGGAUGACAUGAUCUGAAGGAUUUCAAGCAAUAUGUUGUUGAAUCUGGUCUGGCAUCUAAUACGGAAAACGUUGGGUCUUUCUUCCCGCAAAUUAUAGCGAUUGCUAAUAGGGUUGUACUGAAGAUUUAUUGAAGAGAAUGAAGCUAGGAGCAAGAAAGAAAUGGAUGAUAAAAAGUGCCUCGGAGCUUUUUAAGUGCCAAUGAUUGUUUGGUCCAGUAUUUGAAGUUGAGAAAUACUGCCACUGUGCACCUCAAUUACUUAAUAUCUAAAGGCUCUAACCAUUUAAUUAGGAAAUGGAGUGGGGCCUCACGAACACAGGUCCCCACAGUAACAAAUUAUGACAUACACUCUCGUGGUUAUGGGAGACGUUCGGUUAGACAGAUUUCAAAGCCUCUAGCUUGUUGUCUCUUACAUAUUUCGUGAGAUCAUUGUCUGAAAUGUUAGGAGAAUUCACAUGGGCCAAGCAACAACUGUCCAACUACAACCCUUAUCAAGGCAAUAUGUGGAGGUUCCAAUGUCAAAGGUGAAGACCUCCAGUGCUUGAAAUUACCAAGUCGUUUAUAGAGAGGAUGGGAGAAAGUAUGGAACUCAAGAGAUCUAACAAUGUUAAGCAGGCACCCCUCCAAAAUGCAAUGGAGGCCACCUACCUAGGCCAUGGACCUUCAUGAUCGCCCAUUGACCCCGUCCAGGUUUUGGCUUCUGUGACUGAUACAUGUAGUACUUGUAACUGAUACGCUAAGUCUUUUGCUGAAGAUCAGAUGCAGUAGGUGAUUGUCUCUUCGGAGACAUCUGAUAAAAUUGGAACGAUACAGAGAAGAUUAGCAUGGCCCCUGCGCAAGGAUGACACGCACAAAUCGAGAAAUGGUCCAAAUUUUUUUGGUCAGCAAAACUUGUUCUCUCUUCCGAACUGUUUUUGUUCUUGUUGCAGUUCUUGAUUAAGGUACCUUAUGUCCUAUGUGCCAUGGUAUAUGAGAAAGCUAGAAGGUGAUUUCUCUCAAACUUGUAGCAAGAUUUGCUGGAAGACAACUGAAAUCUGCUUCUUUACAUACCCUAAACGAAAGGCCAAUAUGAGAGGACAUGGCAUAAGAAAAAACAUACAUGUUACAUUUUUUUCGUAUGAAACUAAAUAUUUCUCAUCAGUUUAAUACUCGUAUUUGAUUUUUUGGGGAGUUAUUCAUCAUCAGUAUGAUGAAUGAAAUCUAAGCCUCCAAUGUAUCCAGUAGUGCAAGAUUGUGUUUUGUCGUAGACCUCUAUAGGUAUUAUGUCGCUGAACCUGCCAUUCUUAUUUCGUCAGGCCAGCCCUACUUGUGCAUGUUAUGCUUAACGUGCAGCCUUUGCACAAUUUGGUCCUAAAACAUUCAGAUUGUGACACGAGGGAUGAGGAUCAUGGCCGUGUUAAAUUAAAUUAAGGACGGUUGAUACAACUAGUUUGUUUUGUGAUAAUUAUUAAUUACUCCAUGCUAAUUUAAGGGCUAAAUUAUUAAUUACUCCGUGGUAAUUAAUUUAAGGGCUGGGGACAGUUUCAGAGGAUGUUUGGUUCGUGAUUGUAAUAUUGUAUGGGGUUUUUUUUAGAUGCAAGCAAGGAACUUCGAUAAAUA